ensembl:snoRNA
UUCCCCAACAGAUCGACCAUGUUGAUCUAACUCUCUAAGCCAGUUUCUGUCUGA